UGGGCUGUACUGUCAGGCCCAAGAUGGCGAAAUAUUUAGGGCUCAAAAGUUCUUACUUUCUACUAGCCCAAACAUGGAACAACGAGGGCCCAUUUUUUUCCUAUCCAUAACGGCGGCGUCUCGGCGAGACGGCGACGGGCGAAGCUGCGAGGCGGAGGGGGCGGGGUCAGGGGCUCAACGAGUCAACGGCGAGUGAAUAGCGAGAGUCCGGGGCCUGCUGAUCCGACGUCGUCGGCGGUCGGCGGAGGAAGCGCGGAGGAGGCGAACCCGCAGCGGUCAGGCCGGUAUGGCUAAUCACAGGCCAUCAAUAGUGAGUGCUAUUCUUCUGAACUUUUCCUUUUUGAAUUACCCUUCUGAAGUUCUGAGUUCUGAAAUAUGAACUUGAGCGUCUGAAACUGAAACCACCUUUAUUGCCGUUUGUUGCGGGUUUGCUACUUACUCUGCAGUGAAGUUAUGAUAUAUUGAGCCAUGAUGUGUGCGUCCUGUAAAAGAUUACUGCCCCUUUUGUUUCUCUCAUUCGGCAAGGAGCGAGAUAACUGAAAAUUUGGUUAACUGGCACAAUUAUUCAUGAACAGAGAGAAGCUGUGAGUCAAAUUAUUGAGGUUAUUCUCAAUCCAUGUAAUAAAAGAAAAAUAGAUAAGUCUUAGUUCUGACUGCCAAGGCACAAAUAAAGGAGCAUUUCAGAUCCAUGAACUGCAAACCAAAUGGUGAGGCUAACCCUUCUGCUUUAUAAUAUGUAAUGUGACUAUAACUCAGUAUAUAUAGCAGUGGCCAACCCAUGUGCCCGUUACUGCCUGAAUCUAUACAACGUUGCACUCUCUAGUCUGAACCAUGGUUUGCUUCAUUCCUUUCAAAGCAUGCGUUUAAUUUCUAGAAUGCUAAUCGUUCACAUCUUGUCCUGAAGAUACCCGUGCAUUUUUAGUUUUCCAGAACCAGACAAAUCGGAGAUAUGACACUUGAACUCCUUUUACACUUUAACAACACAGAGAAAUUCUCCACUGAGCUAUGGCUUUAAGAUAGCUUUGUGGCCCGUGUAUUUAUAUAGAUAUGCUCCUAUGCUUCUAAAAUGAUGAGUCACAGUGGCUAAAGAUUUCCUUUUCCUCUGUUGAAACCUUGCUUUAUUUGGUACCAAUAGAAAGAUAAAAGCGGUGAUAUUUCCCAGUGGAGACUGGAGAGUAAUAUCUUAUUGUGACAUUACUUCUCUUUAUGACGGACGUUUUUGCCUAUUCAGGCUCUCUGCCUUACAGCUCAGGAACAUAAUUUGAUAACAUAAGCUGUAUCAAAAAGCAUGUGACAUACUACUUUUGAAAACUUUACUCUCUGUUUCUUCUUACAGUAAUCAAGACAAUCAAGAAAUGUAUGCUGGAGGAGGCUAAUUUAGACAAAACCAUUAUAAAAUGCCUGAGUGUAGCGUUAAUUUGAUCCAUUCCACUGCAAUUUUGCUGGUUUUGAAAUAUGCCGUUGUAAUGUAUGAUUGGAGCACUCUGCUGAGAGCAUGCUAUUUUCCAUGGCGUUUGCUUUUUGCCCACCAAGACUAGGGCAGACACUGAUGACACUGGGAUGACGGCAAAGGCAUCACCCUGUUUUAGUCAUAGCCCAAACCAACUACAUAAGUAAACAGAAUAAAUACUGGUGCAGCAAGCUGUGCUUGAAACACAACUUCAAAUGAAGAAAAAGAAAUGCCAAAAACCUUAAGAAUCUUACUCUGUCGUGUGGGGGCACCAUCUGGUUGAUCUGCAGUACCACUGUUCUCCUUCUGCUCCUCGUCCUCCACCAUCUCCUCUUCCCCAAAUAUAUGGAUUUCAUGCCUUGGACAGUUAGGAAGGAGAGCUGCUGCAUUUGUAAUGGUGGCCUUGGCAGCCUCCACCUCCCAAACCAUUGAACCCCGACAAUUAAUACUGACCCAGAGACAUUUGAGGGAGGAAAGGAGGCUAAUGCCAAAAUCAAAGUUGGCUCCAUAUGUGGAUAGUGUAUCAUGUACAACAAAUCUAAACCAAAGCCGGUUGAGCCUUGGCAUUGCACCUGCUUCAAAUAUCAGGCUCAUCAUUCCCUUCUUCUUUUUCAUGUACAUAGAAGGGCGGAAAUGGAAAUCCUCGAGACACUGGAAUCCAUUGGGGCUGAUAGUGAGCGAUUCCUGCGGGUAUUCUGUUGUGAAAAUUUGGAGACAGCGUAGAGCAGGCAAGUCUUUGAGCACAUCUACAUCUCCACCUCCCACUUCUUCUAUAAAAAUAACCAAGUUGGUGAGUACUGAGAGGUAGGAUAUCCACUUUGGGAGCCUAGUGAAAAUUGGGAUGUUGCUAGACAUCUGCACAUGACAUGGACGAGGGCACAAUGAAUCAAACAAGAAAUCCAUAGAACAACGUUCCGUAGUGUCAAUCCUUAGGGAGUGGAGGUUUCUUUCUCCUAGAUUACUGAAAGAUGAGAUCAAAGAUUUCUUAAAGCUUCCUUCAUCAUUAAUUGCAUUAUCACCACACCACUUAAUCCCAAGCACCUUCAGUUUGGUUAGGUUUCCUAACUGCUGCACAACUUCUGGUGAGUUUUUGCUUGCAUCCAGCAUCGAGAGCUCCUCUAGAGCUGUCAUGUCACCAAUCCCAUUUGGCAAUCCUACACCAUUAGGCACACAUAGGCGCACUAAUUGGUGUAGUUGAGCAAUAGUUGCUGGCAGUUCUUUUAUUCUUGUAGCUCUGAGAUCGAGUGUUUGCAAAUGUUGUAGCCUUCCAAUUUGGCUUGGGAUCUUACCAAUAUUACUAUUAUAGAGACUUAUAUACCUCAAGUGGCUCAAACUUCCAAUAUUCUCAAUGUCUCUGUCCUCUAGUGUAGGACAAUUUUGUAUAUCUAGGACUCGUAAAAUAUGAAAAUUCAAGAGAGAUGGUAUCUUCCCAACAUCACCAAAUACAGUAAAUGACCGAACUUGAGACAAACUGUUUGCCCCUAACCAGAGACUUUGUUCUGCACAGUUUCCCUGGAGUGAUAGACGCCGAAUUUUGUUAACCGAAGGUGUCAACUUAUGAUUAUCCAUUAUAGUGACAAAAUUUUCUUUAACUGAUAAUGAUAUAAUAAGAUCAAACAUUAUAUCAUGUACCCGGCAAGCUCUUGGCCUUCCACUGUAGUCAGUGCCUACUGGUUCGAUCAUGUUUCUAUUGAUGAGCUCACCAAAGUAGUUUUCUGCAGUAUCCUCUAAGCGUUGUCCUUGUUGUUCUGCAAUAAAUCCUUCAGCUAUCCAUUUCCUAAUUAAACACAACCGCCCGAUCACAUGAUCUUCUGGAAAUAUGCUUAGAUCCAAGAAACAUAUCUUCAAAUAGUGGGGUAGAUCAGAAUAGCUAAGAAACAAUAUUCUUUUAACAAGUUCCAGCUGAUGAUCUUGUUCAUUUGCAGAUCCAAGAGAAUUUCGCACCCUCUCCCACUCCCUUUUACAGAUUGGUUUAGUUGCUAAUAGGCUAGCAAUAUUAACUAUAGCUAGUGGCAAGCCAUGACAUUUUCUUAGUAUAUCAUCAGUAACUUCUUUCAGUUCAAGAGGGCAAUCAUCUUUGUGAUAGAAGAUCCUUUUCAAGAACAAGCUUUUUGAGUCAUCGCUAUCAAGGGGCAUCAUAGGGUAAAUGUAUUCUUUGUGUGGAAUGCUGCAGUAUUUAGCCACAUCUUCAAUUCGCGUAGUUGUGAUUAUUUUACUUGCAUUAUUGUUUUGGGGGAAAGCACAUUGUACUUCUUUCCAAGCUUGUUUGCUCCAUAGAUCAUCAAUUAUGACAAGGUACCUAUCAGGCAAUUUGUUGAAGAUGAAGCAUUGCAUUAAUCGCAAUCCAAAAUAACCACUAAAUAAAUAAAGGAAACUUGAUGUAAGGGUAGAUAAGGAACUAUGGACUCGAUAAAUUUGCAUAUUGCCAUACUUGCAUACAUGAGCAUCCUAUGAUAUAGACUUCAAAAAUCUACAUGUUACUGCUAAACUUUAAAAACAGAUCCAAACACCCAAACAUAUGCUGCCACUUAGCCAACAGGGAAUUCGCAAUAGUGUGCAUAUUAUUUGGAAGGUACUUUGUCGAGCAGUGCCAAAUCCAGUACUUGAAGUGUGUAUGCUGGUGUGCUUUAACCAUUUUUUCAGGGGCCAAGUCUUCAAGUCUGAAUGAUGUUUUCUGAUCCUUUCUUCUAUAAAAAGGUAUUUUGAUCUAUCAAGUGUUGGGCAUUCUGCAGUAAGCUAGGGGAAACUCAGUUGAACCUGAAUAUAUGUCUUGUUUCAAGCACAUUGAGCCAUUUCUUUUGGAGAACUACCUAUUUUUAUUUUUAUCUCCAAAAGUUUUCUAUCCAGAAAAAAAUAUGUAUACCUGUUUGAUUUUUUUAAACUUUUAUUGUGCAUAUGCACACAAGUGAAUGGAGUAUAUACAAAGAGACACCCAGAGCAACAAAUUCAAAAAUUUCCUUGAUAAAUCAGUCUAAUUUUGUUUUUAGUUGAACUUUAAGUGCCUUUGUAAAGAGAAGGCAGAUUUCAUAUGUCAUGAUGUAGCUAAUGCAUAUGCAUGCUAUUGAUCAUUGUAACAUAAAAGACAUGUUUCUUUCAUGUAUUAAUACGUACCUUUUAUUUUGAAGGUAAUCUCUGUUCAUCUUCACAAGCUGUGAAUAUUCUAAUGUUUUGAGAUAAAGAUCUUCCUGUAACCUUGCAAUGUGUUGAUUUUGAUCUUCUGUAAUUGGGCUACUCUUAAGAAACUGCAAUAGUGUGUCACUGAGGAUCUUAGUGACAUUAGGGCUUCGGGUCAUGGAGACAAAGGCUGUGCAGUUAAAUUGACUUUGAACCUUUUGGAAGACCUGAUUAGCAAGUGUUGUCUUGCCUAAUCCCCCGAAUCCCACAAUUGAAACAACCUUGCGCUGUGUGUGCAAACUAAUGCCAUCAUUGAGCCAUUGGACAAGUUUGUCUAUUUGUCUAUCUAUACCCACGAGUCUAUCUGCCUCCUCAUAUAGUGCAGGCAACCUGGGAUCGAUUGCCACUGACUUUGGAGAUAAGGUGGAUGGAUCGAUCUUAUACCUUUUGCGCCGAUCACUAACCUCCAUCACGCGUUCCUUCAGCUCAUUAAUCUGAAUACCGAUAUGAUAAUGUGCUUUCAGAGUGAUGACCUUGCUUAUGAUCUUCUGGAUGAACCCAUUGCAGGUUGCGACAUGGCCAAGGCGGUGCAUGAAGAUGUCAAUGCAAUCCUCGACAUCAUAUGACAGCUCCCUCAACUGACCCAUCCACUCCUUUACUUGCAAGCUUGCUUCCUCCGACUCGGACACCAUCUCUAGGGUGGUGCUCAUGCUUCUUAGUUCUUCUCGCAGAAAGAUGACCUGCCGAUGGACGCCUUGGAGGUUGACAUCCUCCCUCUCCAACAGGCUGCCGAGCCUACCGAGGAGGGGGUUCAUCACCCCCAUCAGAGCACUCGCCGUCACCCCAACCAUCUCUUCCUGUGCACUCUAUAGAAGUUAGCAAGAAAUUUGCUGUAACGGGUACUGGAAUGACGCUUGGAUCUCUUAUAGCCCAGCACUUGUCAUGCGCAGGAAGUUUCGUCCAUGCUACCAACGCGUGUACUGGAAAAAAUAAAGAGGCUUACCAGGUCAAAUAUUGUCAGCGUGGUCGUGUAGGUUCAGAAAAUCACUAGAAGUUACCUUAUGCGUCGUGGAAUUUAAGAAUACACCACAGCUUGUUCUACGCGAUUGCUACACCGUACCAGGUCUGCUAACAACUGCAAUCAAAACAAUCCCUCCAUUUUCUGUACAUAUGCCUUUUUUAGAAAUUGAGCAGUGAGUCUUUCUUAACUUUACUGUUGAUAACUACAGAACGUAAAAAUAACUAUCUAGAUCACUCAUGUGUGCAAUACUAUUAGAUUUGUUAUGACAUUUAGUGCAUAAUGUUUGGAUCGGGAUAACACGCGACCUGUCACGCAAAAACUCAACGCGCGACCCCCCUCUAACCAGUCACAUGUGGGUACAUCGAGCAAUUAUGUGCCGGCACCUGUCUGAAAAAUCAUCAAGUGCUUCACGCGUAGCCCCUCAACAACGAUGUUGAUUUCACGCGUAGCCCCUCAACAACGAUGUUGAUUUCGCCUAUGACGUUGGUAUUAAUAAGUAGACACAUUUUCUUUAAAUGAUCAUAACUCUGUUAACGAUCAUCUGUUUUUAAAUCCAUUUGUACCGUCGCGUUUCUAGUAAUAAGAUCUACAAAACUAGAUCCAUAUUUGAUAUGUUUUGAAGAUAUUUUAUAUAACUAGCAACUUAUAUUGAUUAUAUAGUAGCAACUUAUGUACAAAGUGUGUGAUAACUUAUGUAUUAAACUUAUGUAUAGCUAUGAAAUAACUUUUAUAGAUAUGGUGUAAUAACUUAUGUACAUGUAAUGUAUCAAUAUAGAGAUUAUGUAUCAACCUUUAAUCUUAUAUUGUACAUCUACUCGUCCAAUAGGAAAUUUAUAUAGAGAUAAAUAUACCCACAUAUGAAAAGGAUGUGUAACAACUGUGUGCAAACAGUAUAACAACUUAUAUAGUAUAUGCUUGUAAUGUGGCGACUUAUUUAGAUACUUUAGGGUAAGCAAUAUGACAAUAAAAUUAUUAUUUCAGCAAUUUAUGUGCAUAAUUGCAAUUUAUGUGCAUAAUUUGUUAAGAGGUUUACACAUAAGUUGCUACAUGCUUAAUACAUAAGUAGCUAAUAUAUAUAUUCAAUAUAAGUUGCUAAUACGUAAAAAAAUAUUUCAAAACAUAUGCAUAUGGAUCUUAUUUUGUAGAUCCUAUCAUAAAGAAAUACAGUGGUGCAAACGGAAUUAAAAAUGGACACUCCAGAAAAAAAUUAUCACAUCUUUUAGAGGUGAAACCAGGAAAAAAAAAGGCGUGGGCCACAACAGCCCACUUUUCCCAUCAUGCCGCAGAAGGCCACAUCGGUUAGGCGCUCAUGGGCUUGCGCGACCGAUCGUCAAAUAAAUUUUUUCAUAAUAUUUUAUACCUUGAGCUAGAUUUAUUAUCAAAUUAUCAUUUGAAAUUUAUGUUCAAAGUUACUUAGUGAAAAGUGAAAACCAUGUCUUGACGCAAUUCAAAAACAUCGAAUACUUGUUAACAGAGGAGUAUAUUUUUCCUUGUGACAUCCUUUGUCAUUUUUUUGUCAAUGGAAUAACAGGCAACCGAAGCAAAAAUGUCAUAAGGUGUAUGCUAUACUGGCGCCUGUUUAGGUGACUCCAAUCUACUGGUCUUACGGUCUUCUUGAAACAAUUGCCUAAUGUACCGGUCUUAAGGUCAACUAUUCAAAAUCAUGCACUGCCCCUUUCGAUGUCCCUCCUGACGGGGUCUUCUGUAAAAUUGGAUUACUUCCUUCCACUGUCCCACAUGCUGAUGGAAACUGGACACCAAUCCAGCAAAGACUCAAGUAGUCAAUGCCAAGUUUUAGGUGAUUCCCGUCCUGAAAAGCCAAAGAGAAGUUAGUAGAAACUGAGAGAAGUCUAAAACAACAUCAACUUGGCAGUAGUUGUCACUGUCCAGCGAAGUAUUCAUACCUUGAGAGUUGAAAUAAUGGAGUCACCACUGGCACUGUCAUAAACAGCCCCUGCGUCGUCCGUGACGGGCGACUCGGGUGGCAACCCUGACACCCGCUGCCGCCGCUCCCCGGAAGGCUUCCCCAGCCUCUGCUGCUGCUUGAGAAGCCUGCUGGAAGCCUAGCGAGUGUAACAUCUCUGGUAAUUAGCAAAGCAAAUCAAGAGUAAUCAAGCAAACAAAUCACACUACACUCAAAUUUGCCACUUGUCAAAUUUCAAAUGCACCUUAAUUUUUUAAGUGUUGAAAACCCCACAAAAAGGUUGAAAGGAAGUCAAUAGGGGCAAAACAAGAAUCCAAAGGUGAAAACAAGAAAAUUUAGGAGGAAAGAGUAGAAAACAGUCCAAGUUCAAAAUGUCAAACUCUAAAGACCUUUCAAAUUCACUAAGUGUUGAAAAUGUCAACUUUUGACCGAUAUAAAAGUUGUAGAACUUUUGAAAACAAACAACUUUUGUUAUUUGAGAUUUCACUGAUUUUGAGUGGAAGGCUUUCAAUUUUUGAAUCAAAAUUCAGCAAAAUUUAGGGGAAAUUCAAAACAGCCAAGCUGGUGUUCCACCAAUAUUCCAACCGUUUUAUCUCAAAUUUGGUUGAGAAUUUCACCCAUAGGCUUCUGUAGAAGUUGAAGAGUAUGGUUUGAACUACAACUUUUAUAUAUGGAAAUUUUUGAAGUUUGAAUUUGAAUUUUGGAGAAAAUCAGCCCCAAACAUGCUGCCUAUGCACACCACCGCGAAUGCACAUGCACGUGAUCGCGCACGACGUGUUGCGGCACGCCACGUCGCGAUGGCCCCUUGGUGCAGUGCGCCGGCCACUCGCUGCCGGCGAUGGGACGGGACGUCCCCGGGCGCUCGCCCAAUCGCGCACCCGCGCCAUCCCCCUCCCGACCGGCUGAUCUUUGCCGGCCAGUGCCCAGCGCGCGCGCCAUGCCCUCCGGCAGAUGCCCGCUGCCACGUCGCUGCUCGCCGUUGGCCUCCACCACCCGGCCAAUGCCUGCCAGCGAAAUGACAGCACGAGCAUGCCUCCCAGCCACUCUGCACACGAGACAGACCAGAUGCCCAUGGUAAAGAUCACUCCCUGCCACUCACCAGCCGCGCGCCCACGCCCCAGCACCACCGCGGCCAACCGCCGAGCGUCCCGGCCUGCUCCGCGAGUCGCCGGCCUCCCCGUGCUCCCCGGUGGACCCUAGCUCGCCCUCGGCACUUGCUGAACCGCCCCAUACCCCUCUGCCGCUAUAAAAGGCACUCCCCACCCCUCGUCGGCGCUGCCCCGCCAUAACCGCCACACCGGAGCACUGCCGCCGCACCCUCGUCGUGGAGCCAUCCCCUCCGGGCCUCCCCGCUGCCUUCUAAGAGCAACUCCAAGAGUAUCCUAAAAAAUUCUUCCCCAAAACUAUAUAUUGGGGGUUCUCCUAACAAAAAUUUCCCCCAAAAACAUAUCAGUCCACAGCAGAUCGCUAAUAAAUAGCCCCCAAUAUUUCAAACACAAGCCACGUCAUCGUAUUGGGCCCAUCGGAAGGGACGCGCGGGCGUGCGGGAAUCAGGAUUGGGGGAGGAACGUCAACGCUAAAAUAUACGCGGUGGCAGACUGUUUUUUAGCGUCGCUAAAAAAUUGGGGAAGGUUUAGGUGGAUUGUUGGAGUUUAUUUUUUCUCUCUUUUUUCCUAAAAAAGGUAUUGGGGGUAAGAUUAGCAGCCUCUUGGAGUUGCUCUAAGCCACCUAGUCGCCCUCCCGUGCACCCCUGCAGCUCCUCGAGCAAUUUCCCGGCCAUCCCCGUCACCACCGGUGCUGGAGCAGGAACCCCCUCCACCGCGCCUGAAGCUCACUGUCGCUAGCCACCGCCGGUCACCCUUCGCCCUCGACCUCCACAACGCACCGAUUUCGGUGAGCUGCUGACCACACCUGUGCCGUUCUUUCACCCCCUCCCCGCUGGACUUCGUCAGGAUUUCGCCAGCAAGCUGCCGGAGAAGCCAAGGGGCAUAUUGCAAGCCUCCAAGUCUUUGUAGGGUCUAAACCAUAAAAUGGCAGGGCCUUUCUAUGAAUGUUUAAAAGUUAGGAGGACCCCUCUGUAAACGUAUUUAACCUUUCUAUUUUAAAAUGGAAUAAAAGGGCUGAAACUUUGAAAAGGUGUAGGAAAUUGUAGAAAAAUGCUAAAAAUGCAAAACCAAUUUUGUUGGACUCCAGAUGCUGUCUAGUUUCACUAAAAAAUAAUUUUGGACAUGUCACUAUUAUAUAUUUCACUAUAGGAUUUAUUUUGUGUAAAAGCCAAUAAAUGCCUUAUAAAUCCUAGAAAAAUGAGAAAAAUGCGAAACCACUUAUGUUAGUUCACUCUCGACAUGCUUGUUCUAGAUAUGUAAUUUAUACUACUGGUUUAAAUGAUUAUCUCACUAUUUUAAGUCUAAAUGCUUAAAUGCUAAGUUGUGUUGGUUUAAAAUUUAGAAACAGGAUGACUUUCCAAACGAAUGUUGAGCAACCCCAAAAUGACCCCGUCCUUCUUUGUGAAGUCUUAGUUGUUAAAACCUUAUAUGUGUACACAAUCACCAUCAAGUCAAGCAUGAGUUCUAAAUCGCAACACACCUUACUUUACUAAGACAUAAAAGUUUAAAAUCUUGUCUAGGUGAAUGUGGCUGAAAAGAAAGAAAGGGUUAAAAUCUUGUCUAGUAAAUCUUAUGCAUAUGCAUCUCGUGUAGAAGCUAAUAUCACUAACGGUACGUAAGAGUUGGUUUCGGAAGCUGAAGAGGAACACUCGGAUGCUGCAGUGAACUUGAUCGAGGCCACGCAAGACCCGAGCCAAGCUUCGGAAGAGCCACAGGCUAGUGUAGUACAAGAACGCAAGCCUCGGAGCCUAACCCUAGUUUCCAAAUUAUGCAAUACUUAUGUUACUUAUGUUUGUGCAUUAAGUUCAUAGGAGUUGCUUGAAACCUUAGUUGCAUGCUUCUAGUACCCAUGACUUGAAUACUAGCAUGAUAAGUCGAGUAGUUGCUAUGCUAAAUAGGGACAUGGUAAAAGUUGAGUGUUUUCCUAUCACUCGCGAGCUAUAGGAGUUGCCUAUUUACUUAUGUUGGAAUCAUAAGGUUGACAGGCGGGGCUUGGUAAUAUGUUUUGGAACUGGUGGAUGCCCCAUCUGUAUAGAGGAAAAACUGCUAAGGUUGAAACGUGUGGGAGUCUUUGUCAAGUUUUUGAACGUGCUAAACAUAUGCUGAGAGUAUGGGGAAUCAGUAAGCCUAGUACUUGAUUGAACUAGUGUGGACCUUUACCCCACUCUCUCUGGAACUGGGUUCCCAUGCAACCUCAUGUGGGUACAUGUGCAGGCAUGGUACAACGUCGUUCCGGGACCGUGGGGCAUUGUAUCCAAGGGAAUUGGGCUCUGGACAAACACCGCGAAUUGACGGGAACCGUUGAUAUAUGCGAACCCAUCGCAGUAAUAGCAUAUGUCGUGUGUUUAGGUCCACCUUGCAAGGUUAAGAAAUCCAAUUCGAAUUGUUUGCUUCUCACAAUUUGGGACUGCUUGACCUCUUUUCCUACAUUGAGUAAGAAGAUGAAUAAUGAUGAUGCUUAAUAUUGAUUGUUGAUUAAAUUACUUGUUCUACCAUGCUUGCUUAGAAUAGGUGCUUACCUAGAAUGGUUAAUCAACUUGAACUUGAUGCUAAAACUUGAAAGUAAGGAUCCACUUUAGAAGCUUUUGGCAAAACAAACCCCUCAGCCAAAAAACCUUGCAUGUCUAGGAGUCGGUGGAUUAGAUACCACCUGAUGGGUAAGUCUUACGGAGUAUUAAGUAUACUCAGCCUUACUUGUGGCUAUGUUUUUCAGAUAAUAUGGAUGUGAAUGACUAGGUUGCUAGUGUGACUUGGGUGUCCCAAAUCCCUCCGGGAUGGACGGUUGAGUGGGACCCAUCCUCGAUCGGUGAGGAUCGUGGUGAUUGAUAUCAUGGCAGGCUUCACUAUGGUAUUAUGUAUCGACGUUAGAACUAUUGUUAUUUUCUGCUGCUGUUGAACUCUGAACCACUCCUUUAUGCAUUUGAACUCUUGGUUGGUUAUAACUUAAUUUGGGACCUGUAAUAUGUUAUCUGGAUUAUUGUAAUUUCUGGACUCGUCUUCAUGCGAGCUUGGUAUGCUUGUUUUGAUCUGAAACACGUGGUUGUAUCGGGUGAAACUCGACAGACUACCAUCUUAAUUCGAUUAAAGUAUCUAUUUGGAUUUGAGGCGAUGUUGAGCACACUUUAGCUGGGUUAAUUUGGGUGGUUCUGCCACAACGAGCUUCGAGGAUAGUGGUGACUGGGCCAUCUUUGCUCAUGGUGACAUCUUGACCGAUGGGCAGCGGCCGGGUGCGAUGGGCAGCGGAGGAACUCCACCAGCUUGGCAGUGGCCGGAGGUGGCGUCCAGACCGUCGGAUCCAGUCGGAGAAGGCUAGUGACAACUGGAUCUCCUCGGUGAUGGCACCACCCCUCUUCUUUCUCCUUCGCUCCCCUGCUCUCCUCUCAUCCCCGACCUAGGUCAUCUCGAUCACUGCCGCUGGUUGCCGAAGCUACCGGCCGCUAGUCGUCCUUCGCUGGAUAUGCAGCCUCGAGGCCUAGAUCUGCACUCUCCCAGGCUCGGGGGCCCGUCUUCCUCCCAUCGUCGAGGUGGCCCCCGCAGCUUGGGGUGGUGGCAGCGACGGUUUCUGGACCUGCGAGACUGGGAGCGGGCGUCGUGCCCUUCCUCGCGCCUCGCCGCGCUGCUCCGGGCCGCCUCCCUCCCGCCGCACCUGUCGUGGGUGCUACCCACGGAGCUGCUCCGGCGUCGCCUCCGUCGAGGGGCUUGAGGCCAUGGCCACGUCCUGCGGCCGCACGACUGACGUCGCGACUGAUGCUGUGGCUCGGGGCUGCGCCGAUGACUCCACUGAUGCUGCAGGGGCUGUGGGGUUGCUGGCAGCGGGCUGCAGCGACUGCGUGCUGGGGCGUGGCGGCUUGCGGCGGCCGCAUCGAGCGGGCAUGGGUGAAGCGGCCGCCGUGUCUGGGGGGGGGGGGGGGCACUGCCGCUUCUAUGGCGUCCGCUCUAGGCCACGGCGCCUCACCGGGGGCUGCUCCCCCACCUGCAGCAGGGCCUCGUCGGCCAGCCUGUCACACCCUGAAAUUUUGGGAUUUCAGGAUGUGAUUAGAAAGAACAAUUGAACAAUAAAUUUUCUUAUAAUUUUAAAAUUUUUCCAACAUUUAUUUUCUUUACAGAAAAUAUAGUAUAGGAAAAGCAAUUGGUGGUUUUUCUAAAUUAAGUAGUGUUAUUUUGUGUGAGUUGCAUUCAUGCCGAUGAUCUUGGUGUCUCUUGAGUGAAAAAAGUUUUAAAAAUGCAUUUAGAUAUUGAUGAGGUUCUUCCGAGAUUGAGCUCAAUCCAAUUUCUUGAAGGCUUUAAAACCCCUUUUCACGAGCUCCGAAUAUUUAUUUGGAUUCCUCGUGUCCCAAUCUAUCUCUAGGAAUUUUCCUAGAAUUUUUAAGAUUUUCAGAGUAUUUUUCGUGGCUUAAAUGAAUUAUCUAGAUUUUGUGGAUUUUUAUUUAGAUAGAAAAUUAAUUCUGAAAAAAAGGAAACCUAUCCUACCAAUUUGGGCUGAGCCUGUGGGCUUGACCCGCGUUGGCCCAUCCAGCCCGCCGAGGCCCAUCGGACGCCGAAGCCGCCGCCGUCGAACCUCGACGUGCGCAGGCACAGGUCCCUGCACCUAUAAAGGCUGCUGCUCGAGCCCCAGGGUCCCGAGCUUCGCGCGCCGCCACUGCCACCGCUCGCAUGUGCGAGCCGCGCCACCAUCGCCAAUGCCGCUGUCGGGCACGCCGUGUCGCCCCCUCGUGCCUCGCAUGCCCGAGCCGCGCCGCCUACCCCUCACGCGCAUGACUUUCGUCCGCCUUGCUGCCUCACCCGCCGCUGUCUUGUCGCCUUGCCGUGUUGCGGAUGUCGCCUGGAGUGAGAGGAAUAGAGCCCCGCAGCUGUUCCGACUAUCGCCGCCGUCGCUUCACCUUUGGGGCGAGCCAGCAUCAUCGGUAGCUUCCCCUUACCGAGCUGCACACCCGCCUCCUCUUCUCGUCAUCAUCCCGUCGCCGGAGCAUCGCCGGCUAGUGAAGUCCAAGCCGACCGCCAUGUUCCACCGCCGCCCAACCAAAUCCGAGUCGGAAACCAGCCAAUCCCGCACCUCUCCGCCACCGCCACCUCAUCCUCCUCUUCCAAUCCCCAUCCUCGCCGCUGACCCUAGGCUGCUGGAGCGCCGGCGAGUUGGCCGGUCAAAGCCGCCGCAAGCCAGGAGGAAGAAGAAGCCCCACCCCUUAUACGUUUAUGCCCUUGGAGAACCCUGUAAUGUUUGGCCUUUUCUUUGUGUCUUGUGCAUCUUACAGAUAGCCCCCUGGAAAGUUUAGAUGCCUGCCACUUAGUCCAAACCGAGCCCUUUUGCAGAUCUAACCUAAAGGUUUUACCUAUUCACGAGCACUGUUCCAUGUGUCUUGUGAAUCUUCCUUGCUAGCCCUAUUAUCUACGGUUAAUCACGACUAGACCCCUGAACCUUGUUUCAUCCACAGAUUACACGUUUUAGCUUCGUUUCUAUCCGUUCAAAUUGCGUUAGAUUCAUAACAACAUAAGUUACACGUUAGUGGUGAUGUUUUCCAUCAUUGCAUAUGUUUUAAGAUCAAUUUAAUAUUAAUCUGGUUAGUACCUAUUAAACAUGUUGUCUUUAAUUCAAAGCUAUUUAGUGUUAAUUUGAUUAAUGCUUACUCUUAAAUAUUUUUCCAAUUAAAAGCUAAUUAGAGAUAUACCUCGGCUUUUUAUAAAUUAAACUCAAUUUGAUUAAUGUGUAUUAAUUUUUUUUAUAAAUAAAAGCUACAUAGGAUAUAUAUGGAGUUUUCAUAAUUAAAUGUUAAUUUGGCUAAUAUAAAUAUAAAUGUAUUUUUGAAUUAUAUUUGGUUAGUUCAACCUGAAUCAUAAAGUUAUACGCUUAGAUGCUUUUACAUGCUGCUUUUAAAAAUCAAAUGUUUAAUUUGCUUAAAAUUGUCCUUAAAUAUUUAUAAAUAAAAUUGGACCAACCUUUACGUCGUCUUCUCGUAUUUAAAUAUGACUUGAUUAAUUCCAACGAAGGACACACCCGUGGCUACCGGCCAUCAGUGCCCUCACCGGCCUCACCCGCAUGGUCGUCGGGAGGCGCUGCAUUGGCGGCAGCCGGUCAUGGCGGGUGCAUCCCUCGGUCCUUCAAGUUGUAAGGUUUCUCAUUUCUCCGAUGGUCGCUCCUCGUCAUCGACGUCUCCUUCCCCUUCCUCCUUUCCUUCUCUCUACCCCUCCUCCCUUCACCCGACCGCACACUGGUCGUGCUCCGGUCGCUACCCUUGGUCACCGCCUUUGCUGUUGAUUUCCCUGGCGGGCCUCUGCCGGUGCCCUCCCUAAGACCCAUAUGCUCCUCUCUCCCUCCCUUCCCUCUCCCCCUCUUCCCUUCACCCCACCGCUCCCAAGUCAUGUUACGGGUUCUCCCCAAGGUCGCCGCCCUCGCUGGUGGUCUCCUCCGUCGGGUCUUCCACCAGAUCUAACCCCUUUGACUCGGAUCCAUCGCUCACUCUUUGUUGCCGAUGGUGGUCGCUCCUGGGGCCAUGCCUCCUCCAGGCGUCUUCUUCGCUGCUAGGGUUUGCCAUGUUUUUCCUCCCCAUGUUGCUUCAGGGUGCCGCCGCCGCCCUGUGCGGCUACCUCCGCUACGGGUCAUCCCCGAUCAUCGUCAUUGAGUGUUACUGGGUGGGGGGAGGGCUUUGUUUGCACCUGCAUGUGCCCUUCUGUUCAUGGCCUUGUGUUGGUCUACAGGAUACCCUUUUCCCAAACUUUCUGCUAGGUCUUCGAAGGUGUGUUUGCGGUGCUUGGUUGUGGAUUUCACGAGCGAAAGCUCUGCCCGGUGUUGUUUGGUGCCGGCAAUGGCUACAUCCGUGGGUGUAUCUCACUCUAUUUUUGGGCGCUGUCGAGGUCAUCUACAAUAGUUUGAUCAUGCCAAGUGAAAACUUUGUCCAUUCUCUCUUGAAUGGAUGGACGACAGCGUCGUCUUUGAUGUUGUUCCCUUCUUGGAGGCGCCGUCUUGGAUAUCCCUCUGCUCUACUACUCCGCUCGGUUGACCUUGGUGUUGUUCUGGUUGUUGGCAGCUCUGUUAAUCUUGCAGGCUGUCAGUUGUUUGGGUCAAUGUUUUGGUUGGUCCAUUACAUAGGGGUGCUGUUGUGGAGUGAGUGGGGUUUUCUGUUCUUCUGUUGGUGGUUGUUUGCCACAGCUCUAGGUCAUCUAUUCUCACCGACGCCACCCCUCACCUUCUAGUCAUCUUUGGAUUACUGCGGUCACCCCAUGGUCGCUCCUUGAUUGUCUUUGGCUGUGCAUGCGGAUGUUCCUCAUCGUUGUCACCGUGGAUUGCUCGCUACCAUCCUAUCGCAUUGGCUGUCGUUGGAUUUAGUGACCGGCAGUCCACCAAUAGGUUACCCAAGUGGUAGAUUUAUAGGCGGGGGAGAUUGUAAGACCAAGAAUUCGAAUGGUAACAUAUAGGCACAAGGUUUAGACAGGUUUGGGUCUCCAGAGAGUAAUACCAUAUGACCUAUGUUUUGGGGGGAUUGUAUUGCUGAUCGCAGGUGUGAAGAGUUCACGUGCCCUCGGGGGGCGCCCCUAGCCGCCGUAUAUAGGCUGACGACCUAGGGUUACAAUUGGAUAGGAUCUAGUCGGUUGUAACAAGGAAAUCAUUCUAAAUCGAUUUACAACAAGUAUCCUGAGAUAUCCGGGCAGAAUCCGUUUGCCCGGCCUCCAAGCUUGUGCACCACGUGUCUUCAUUGCUUGCCCCGCACACCAUAGUUGGGUGGGGCCCACUUGUCAGGCUGGCUAGUAUCCUGGUUGGUGGGAACCCAUGGGUACCCUUAUCCCUCAAGCCCCUGAGCAAUGUGGAGUUGAACAGGAGCCUGACGGAAGCACUACGAAGCUUGUAAUGUACUCGGCUGAAGUUGCGGUUUCGCCAUAGGGACGGAGAGGAUGUGCGGUGCUCAAAAAAAGGAGAAAUUGAAGCUUUCACAGGCGUAUGACCAAAUGCACGUGGCUAUGCAACUGCUGAGCUCCAGGAUGUAUGACAUCCUAUAGAUCAAAGGGAGGCACAUAGAGGGCGUCGCAAGACACACUUCAUAUGGAGUAGCCCCCGAGCAAUGAAGGGAUUAAAGUAAUCGGUCCAAUGAUCAAGAAUUCAUGCAGUACUUAUAUUAUAGGUUUUCGAAAUAUGGCACCCAGUGCUCGAGCGUAAGGAUUGGCAGAGCCGCGGAGGCACACCGACCUAAAAUAGGCACUCAGCCUUCGAGCACGAGGACUGGCGGAGCCUAGGAGGCACACCAACCUGAAGUAGGCGCCCAGCCCCUGAGCGUGAGGACUAGCAGAGCCGAGGAGGCAUGCCAACCUUAAAAAGGCGCCCAACCCCCGAGCGUGAGGACUUGUGGAGCCAAGGAGGCACAUUGACCUGAAGUAGGUGCCCAUUACCUAAGCACGAGGACUGGUAGAGCCAAGGAGGCACGCCGACCUGAAAUAGGUGCCCAGCCCCCGAACGCAAGGACUGGCAAAUCCAAGGAGGCAUGCUGACCUGAAAUAGGCACCCAGCCCCCAAGCACGAGGACUGGUGGAGCCAAGGAGGCACGCCGACCUAAAAUAGAUGCCCAGCCCCCGAGCAUGAGGGCUGGCCGAGCCAAGGAGGCAUGCCAUGAGAUUUAAUAGAAAACCCAUGGAUUCCAUCCACUGCGUGUGCCGUAACGGGAGAACCAUGGAUUCUGUCGCUAGGUCUACGCUGUCAACCCCUUCAAAAGCUGAAGGGGCACAGUUUCCUUUUCAUUCCACUCCUCUCUCCCCCAAGCGCUGCUGCCACCAACGCCAUUGCCACCAUGCCUGAGAGCCCUAGGUUGCGCCGCCGCGCCCUUAAGCCGCAUCCAUCGCCUCUCACCCGGAAGCGUUAGACACCACCACCAUUCCCCGCCGUAUGCGAACCAAGGGGCCCACCUACAUCCGAUCUGUGUCUCAAGGAAUAGAAACCGAAGAGAUGGUGGUGGAGCAUGUCGUACAUACAUCUAUGGGCCCACCAAAAGGUUUGGACAGUCCUAGAUACAAGGCUGGACAUCGAGACGUGUCUGACAUAGAGGCUAUGGUGCAGGACGGCGUAGUCUACGUGACAGGAUAGGGACUAGUCAAGGAUUAGGAAGACUACUCAUAGCAAUUAGAGUUGGACUCACCUAGUCGAAUCUGACUAGUAUUCUUAUAAACAACUGACGCGUAACCCUGCCCCCGGAGAUAUAAUGCGAGGUAGGGACCCCCUCCAAAGCAAUUCAAUCCGACCAACACACAUGACGUAGGGUAUUACACAAUCUAGCGGCCCAAACCUGUCUAAAUUGUGUGUCUGUGUUCACCUUCAACUUCCUGAUCUCGGCGAGCCCCACUAACCAAACACUACCUCAGGCACCCCUCUCAGUAUGUUGCCGGGUCUAAACACUAACAAAGCAGGCGUCGGACCCAUCAACCUACUGGGUGAAGUUCAUGAUGACGGAGGAGAAGAUCAAAGCACUCGAAGACCGCAGCCUCCUCAGCCCCAAAUCACUUCUGGAGUGGAAGGCGACCGCGGGCUAACAUUUCCCCUCCAAGGAUCGGACCGAGACCAUCAUCUUUGUGGCAUUUCUCGAGCGAGGAUUUAGGAUCUUCGCCGUAGAUUUCUUCCGCGAACUCCUUGAUUACUACAAGAUUUAGUUAACGAACAAGGGGUGGUAGAAGGAGUGGUUCAUUGUUGACAACCAGAAGCCUGAGCUACCCCCCGCCUCGGGUUCGCGCCUGUGACAAGGUUGGAGUGGUCAAACCAGCCGACCUCCAAAGAGAUGGUCCAGGUGAAGCAGCUGCUGAAGGUGAUCGCCGACCUGAAGGCGUGUGGGCUCACAGUGGGGGCUGUGAGCAUCAAUUUUUGCCGGAGGCUGACACAACCUAUCAAGGAUAGGGUCCGCCUGGUGGAUGAGUACUCAGGUCCAUUGGAUCUGACCCGGGAGGUGCAGCAGAAGGUUACCUGGGGAGAAGUUGCCAGCUGGGUGUCUGAGAUUUUUUGCGGUGUCAUCAAGAACAAAUGCUGCCCCAAAGCAUAUUCCCUUAAGAGGCUAUCCGACCUGGUAAGAUCUUAACUUUGUCAUUUAACUAUCCAGUUGUGCAUUGCAUUUCCUGUUCUCUAUUUGAUCCUAUUUAUCGGCCAGAGCCGAGAAUUUUAGUUUUUCUAUCUAGCGCCACUUCCUGGAGGGUCCGAGCCACAACGACCUAAGGUCUGCCCCACCAACGAUGCCGAUCUGCCGCUUGCUACCCUUGACUGGGAGUCGGACUCGUCCAUUGGUGUCUCGAACGAGGACGUGCUGAUCCGAGGCAGUAGAACAGAGGUUGGGAGCACUGCUCUUGUUGGGUGGCGGAUGUGCCAGGCCACCCACAAGGUGGUGGAAUCCAAGGUGCCGGAGACGGAGAAGAAAAAGCGGAGAAAAAGAGGGGCCACUAUGUAACACCUAGUGUUAUUACAAGCUUAAGAAAGUCAUUAAAAGGUUAAUGAUGAAUUUUGGAUCAAAGAGAAGUAUUAUGGGUCAAGUUCAAAUUUAAGCCAAAUUUGACCAAAAAUUCAAACUCAAGAUUCAAAUUAGGAAAUUUUUUACAAAAAUGUGGAAUCAAGAGUUGAAGGUGUUAGAAUUCAAAGGAAUCAAGUUGAAGGUCAAAUUCAAGUCAUAGGCAUCUCAAAUGCAUAGUCAAAGUGGUUGACUGGAUGUUACUAUUCACCAUAAAAACAUUCCAAGUCUAAAACAGUGACGAGCAUUCAACUUUGAAAUUGAUUUGAGAAGAAAUUUUCAUCUAAGCUGUGUGUGGUUUUGGAUGACAAGUAGACUUGGAUAAUCAAUGAACAAAUUGAGUAAGUUGUUGGCUAGAGGAUUCAAAGGAUUCAAAAUUUAAAUAAGGUUCAAAGUUUGAAAGUUUCACUGUCAAGAGUUGACUAUCGAGAUUGAAUGGCAAUGGCCAUUUCAACUCUGAAGAAAGUGAUAAUUGGCCAACUUUGGCUCAAGAGUUUGAAGGAUUCUACAUGUAAAUGAUGGGAAACAACAUGCAAAAUGGAACCCCUAAAGUGUGGUUAACAAGUUACAAUGGCUCUUGGACAAGGAGAAGUUGGUUUGAAUAUUUAAAUCUGAAUUCAAAGUUUGGACAGUGGCUGUUUGAAAGUUUGUCUGAAGGAAUUGAAUGGAGUGUUUGAUUAAACACUAACAGUGCAGUGCAAGGGGUCCAUUUUGGGGCUUCAAUUCAAAGUGAUAGAGUGAUAUUUUGCCCUCGAUGCAAAUCUAUAGAAUGUAGCCCUAAGAAGCCUCUACAAGUUAGCUUAAAGAAGAUUGGGGAGUUUGAAUUGAAAGAUUGGCGCAAAUUGGAGUUGAAUCUCGAGCGGAAUUGGGGAGAAAAGGGGGGAAAGCAGAGCUGAGCUGCUACCACGCACCUGCUUGCCGCCGAUGGCAAGGGCAGUUUCGCCAUGCCACGCGCUGGCAUAUGCCAGCGAGGUGAAGCAGGUAGGCAGGCAGGACGUGUCCAUCACAAGGGCAGUAAAAAUUCGUAUAAAUAACCGCUCUCGUUGGCCAUCUCUAUCCUUUCACCGCACCGCUCACUUUUUUUACCGCACCUCAAUCGCCAGUGAGUUCCGCCGCUACCCCACCACUGCCAGGCGUUUCCCUCUGCCAGAACCAUCCCACCAGUCGCUGUCCAGCCCCACCCACCACAGCGCUUUCCUGUCAUCGUCUUCUUCAACUCUGGCAGUCCUCUAUUUUUGGUAAGGCUGCCGCCGUGGAGAGCUAUGCUAUCGAAGCUCUGGUCGUUGUCUGAGGGUAUAGGUGUGUCACGCACGAGCUCUAGAUGGUUUAGGUAUGGCUUGUUGGCCUGGAGCACAGACGGUUGGUCGGAGCUGCUGCCACCGUGCGCGCCUCCGCCAUGGCCACCGUAGUCGAGCUGUUUGCUUCGGCUACGGGGAGCUUUGGUUUGGGCAAGCGAAAAGUGUUUUAGGUUGAGGCGAAGCCUUAGAGCUAGCUUGUGGGUAGAGAGUCACCACUGUUGCACCGUUCGCCGCCGGGAAUCCUAGCGCCGCCCGUUCCGCCGCUGUGCUCCACCAUUCGCCGCCGCCGCUAGCCAACCUACCCUAAUAACACCACAAGUAGGUGCGCGUGGUCGAGGCGAGUCUAGCUCGGUAGUCCCCAUCGUCGGAGACCUCGCCGGCGGUGAGUUUCCGCAUCUACUCGCCGAUAAACCCACGGUUUGGGCUGGGAGCACUGUGCUCAAGUAAGGGCCCGCGCGUCAGUGUGAAGGGUUAGGGUGAGGGUGAGUAAUAGAGGAUUUCCAGGUGUGUUUUCGGGAAGAAAUUGAUUUAAGAGUUUUAGAAAUUAGAUUUAAAUUCUAUUUUCAUAUGCAAUUCAUUAUAAUUUGUAGAAUUGUCCAAAUUUAGUGAAACCAAUUUUAUUAGGUGUAUUUUAUUUUCCAUUAUGCAUUAAAAUUUCUUAAACCCUAGGAUAAGGUCAUAAAAUUUAAUUAUUUAUUUAGUACCUUUAAUAAAGGUAUUUAAAUAAAUACUUAAUCUUUAUGAAAUGUAUAAAAUUUUGAAUAAUGUUUUAUUAUUUACAAAUACUUAUUAAUCCAUAGGAAUUAAGUUUUUAAGGUUAGAAAUUAUGUAUAAUGCUUUUCUAAAUAAAAGAAAAAGGCUUAAGUUAGGUUAAUUAAGAACUUAAGUUGUGGGUUAAUCUUUCAUGGGUAGAUUAUUCAGGUGGUUCCUUGUGUUGAAGGAUCUUCCGAAGAAACUAACUUUUUUGUGAAUCACGGCAAGCCGCGGUGCAUCUACACCUCUAUAAUUUUAGAAAUUACUAUUCAUGUGUCCAAAUUAUUGGUUAUUUCCUUAUUAUGCAUUAAGUCUAGGAGUUGAUUGAAACCUACUCUUGUGCAUAAGCCAACGUUGUUUGUAGGACAUCUUUGCCACCUGUUCAAAUACUUAGUAACCAUCCUAUGCUUAGUAAUGCUUAGAUUCACCUUUGAGUAACUUUGUUGCUCAACCACUUAAGGUUAAUAUUGUCAUGCAUGUUGAUCACAGAAAUGGCUUUGAAUUUUGAAGUGGUGGACAAAAGCUAGAGAUGGUAGUUCUAUCCACUAAGAUUAAUCUGUUUGAGGCCCUUCGUUGUUUUAACCGCUGAUCAAGUGAUAUUACCUGGUUUCUUACUGCCAUUGGGAACCAGCAAGCCUGGUAGGUUAGUUGGCUCUCUGAUUGGAAAUAUUCUUACCCGUGCUUAGUGUGUAGCAGAAAGGUAGGGGUGUAGCCUGAAACUCACAUGGAGAUCAGACUAGACGUGGGGUCCCAUGUGGGGGUGCGUCCCUGGGUUUGGUUAAUUAUAUUUCCGAUCUUUGGGUACGACUAAUCGAAAGGUCGUUAUGUGCAACCCGAUCAGUUGUGCAUGCCUGGUAAUUAGGUAUCUCCUGCAGGAUUUAAAUCGGUUCGGAUUGCCGCAAUUCUCGGUUAUGAAUGCACUUGAUCAUCACUUAAGCAUCGUAGAGUAAACAAGUUGAAUAUAAUAUUUUCCUUGAAUUAAUAUUGUUGUAUGAUGUUUAGUCCGACUUGAGUGAACAAAAUAUUGUAUUCACCUUGACUGGUUAGGUAAGAACUAACCAUGAUUAAAAUAAUAAAACUAAGGUUCCAAAAGUAGUAAGCUUUUUGCAAAAAUGUGAGUCAGCUAGUACACUCAAAAGCUAUCAUAUUACUUGCAACAUUAUUUUCAAUCUACCUAUAUUGGUUAGACGGGUUAGUCUUGCUGAGUACCUUCGUACUCAGGGGAUCCCUUGUUGUUGUUUUCAGACGUGCAGCAGGGGUCUACUGAAGAGGAAGGCCUGAAGAACUAGGGUAUUUUACGGGUUUCGUAAUACCCUAGAGUUAAACCUAGUUGUUUAAUUACCUUACUCCUCGGACUUGUGUUAUAUCUGAAACUCUUAGAACGGUCUAACUUGCACUCUAAGUUUAUUUCAAUCUAUGGGUUGUAAUAAUUCGUACCUCCGGUAUGUAUGUAAAAAUAUAAUAUUUGUUGAUGCUUUCCCUUUGUGGAAGCGAUCUUGAUGUAUGGCUGAGAUUCAAGUCGUGGAUGAUUCGAGGCGUCCUAGGGACACUUGACGGAGUACCGGAUUUAAACUGUUUUAAGUGCAUUUUGAAUAAUUGUUGUUCCGACAGUGAUUAGGCGCAGUUAAGCUAGUUUAAGUCGAAUGGUUCCGCCACACACUAAGCCCUAGGCCCCGUUUGUGGCAACCAUCUCCCCCACUGAAGCCUCAUCUGGGGCUAUAACUAACGACUCCGAGUUGCCCAUUCCGGCCACGAAGAAAAAGAAGGCCGAGCUCCUUGAGACAAUCGCUGCCGACGUGGAGAAGCUCAAGGAGUGGCUAGAGGUAGAGAUCCACGGCGGAAAGUAGAAAGAGCCAGCCCUGCCACUACCAGCGCCUCUUCGCCCAGAGUUCCAAGCGAAAAAGAGCACACUGUGAGUAUGGACGUGGUGUCAUUUAUUAUUGGAAGUUUGUUUGUAUACUACUUUGCUCCAUGUGUGUGCCGCACUGACCGAGCAGGAAGGCAGUGAUGGAGGAUGAGCCAAGUUUGCAGGAUGCAGGCGUUGGAAAUUAGGCGGGAGGUCAGGUUCCUGAGGCGGCCCUGGGGGCUGCAUCUGCUUCUUCUAUCCAGGCCGGACACGAUGGCCACCUGGUGGUGGAGCCUGAGAGGCCUGACCAGAAGUCUCUACCGUGCCAAGAUGCUGCAGGAGAUGUCGCCGCAUCCGCGCCUAGGGCCGCAGAUGCCAGGGUCGAGGUGCAGAUGGAGGAGACCCCCAGGGAUGCACUGGUUGACACUGAGACGACAAGCUACGAUGCUAACGUCGGUGCCCGUGUGAAAGAUGAUCACACCACGUUGGACUUCGCUGGGAUGGCCUUGGCGCAGGAUGUUGCAGAUGACAACAAGGACCUUUCCAUCCUUAAGAAAGCUUCGGCCAAGGUCGGAGGUGUUAUACAUAAGUUGGCUGACCUAUCUUGAUGUUUACUUUUGUCCCUAUCUUCCUUCUUUGAAUUGUUGCAGUAACUUUUGUACAGAAUCUGGCCGAGUGUGCGCACAAGAGGACGGAUGCUAUCCACCGUGUCGAGGAGUAUCACCUCAUGGCUGAGCGCUAGGAGGUUGAACUCAAGAAUGUUAAGGAAGAUGCCACAUAGCAGCUCCGACAAAGAGAUCGGGAGAUCGAGGAGCAGAAGAAAAUCACCAAGGAGGUCCAGGGAGACUUUGAUGCCAUGCUAAAGGGUAUGUAGGUAGCUUGUUCGUGAUGGCCCCGAUUUGGGAGGGUAAUGUUGAUUCUUCUAUUCUUGAUGUGUGCCUUGCAGAUGCCGAAAAGAGGGAGGCAAGCCUUAAGAAAGACCUCAAGGAGUGUGAACCUGCCAAUGCCCGACUACAGCAAGACCGUGACAUUGUCGUGCACCAUGAGUAUGUCAUUUCACAAAAACUUGCCUAUGAGACUGGCUUGCGCAAGGAUAUGGACCGGUGCUUGAUUGCAGCAAUGCAUAGUCUUCAGCGUGAUCAGGUGGUCAUUGCAGGGUUGGAGGUGGAGCUAGAAGACCUACGAUCGGCCGCGGGUUAUGUGAUGAACAUGGUUCAGCCCGAGGCCAACCCUGCCAAGCCGACGCUGCUGCUCGACCAUCUGAGCAAUGCUCCUAGUCAGCUGAGAGCCUUAAUGAAGGAGAUCGCCAUGGAAUGCGCGAAGAAUGUCAUAGCGCUUCUGAAGAUGCAUUACCCCCGGCUGGCCAUGGAGUGCGUUGGAGCGGGGGUUGCCAAGGACUUCGAUCCUAGUAACCUUCUGGAGCUGGCCGACCAGUAUCAGCAGGUUGCAAAGGAUGUAGUCAAAGAGUUGGACCUGUAAUGGAAAAACUAUGAUGUGUAUCAAUCUGUGUCAUGAGACAAGUAAACUAGUCAAUUAACUUAUGCGAGUAGAAAGCCUCCAUCCCUCCUUUGGUGUAUAUGACUAGACAUCAUGUAGCUUAGGUCUGUAGCCACUAAGCACCCAUCCUUGCCUGGCUAGCACUCUGCUGAGAAUGGAUCUUGAGCUUGUAGAGGGGGGUGAACGCAAGGUUAUCUGGGUUUCGCGAGCUAGGACGUUGUCCACACAAGUUAGUUGUACUUUCCGUGAGAGGGGUAGGAGAAGAGGUGAGACCCAGAUGUCAUCGCGUAAUGGGGAAAGCCCCUGAGCGUGGCGACAAGCGUGUGGUCUGUUGAUCAGGUCGGGCAGCCGUAAGAGCUCGGGUAAGAAAGAAAGAAGGUAGUAGGUAUGCAAAGAACCUCUGAGGUUUUAUUUAUUCAAUGUAAAAUGUAAAGAGAGUACAUAGCUUUAAUGUCCUCAGGGUAGAAGCGUUGCAGGUGUUGGAUGUUCCAUGGGUUGGGGACGCUUGAGCCGCCUGCCCACUGUAACCGAUAUGUGUCGGGCUGGAUAACCUCUUUGACGAUGAAGGGGUCCUCCCAGGGGGCCGAUAGCUUGUGCAUGUCUUUGGUGAAUUGGAUCCGGCGGAGCAUGAGGUCGCCAAUGUUGAAUGAGAGUUCUUGGAUGUUCCUGUCAUGGUAGCAUCGGAUCUGCUGCUCAUGCCGCGCAUGAUGGAUGAGGGCCGCCACGUGAUGCUCUUCCUGGUUGUAGAUGUCGACUUGCCGACUCUUUUCUGCUUCACCCUCCUCAUAGUAUUGGAUCCACGGGGCGCCGAAUGCCAUAUCUGUCGGCAACACGGCCUCGGAGUCGUAUACCAGGAAGAAGGGAGUAUAGCCGGUAGCCUGACUUUUUUGGGUUUAGAGGCCCCAAAUGACAUGGGGUAACUCGUGGAGCCAUGUGGUAGCAUAUUUGGAUACGUUGUCGAAGAUGCGAGACUUGAGGGACUAGAAGACCAUCCCAUUCGCAUGUUCCAAUUUGCCAUUGCUGCAUGGGUGAGCUACUGAAGAGUAGUACACAUUGAUUAGAUUGUCUUGGAAAAAAUCCCAGAAUUCGGAUCUUGUGAAUUGCUUGCCGAGGUCGGUGAUGAUCCUAUUGGGGACCCCAAAGCAAUUUGUGAGUUCUUCAAUAAAUUGGGAGCUUUGGCCAACUCUGUGCUGGUGACAACCUUAACCGAGAUCCACUUGGUGAAUUUGUCAACUGCCACAAAGAUGUGGGUGUAUCCGCCCGGAGCAGUCUUGAAUGGGCCAACCAUAUCCAGCCCCUAGCAUGCGAAGGGCCAUGAUGGUGCGUAGAGCUUGGGCUGGGAGGUACUGCUGCUUGUAGAAGAACUAGCAUCCUUUGCACCUUUGGACGAGCUCUUAUGCAUCGGCGAUAGCGGUUGGCCAGUAAAAGCGUGAGUGGAACGCUUUCCUGACUAGACUACCCGAGGCGGCAUGGUUCCCGCACAAACCUGAGUGAAUUUCAUGGAGGAGUUCGAGGCCUUCAUAUCAGAGGAUGCACUUCAUUAGGAUGCCUGUGGAUGCAGCCUUCAUAUAUGAUUCCCUGCUGAUCACAACGUAGUUGGUGCUGAGUUGUGCGAGUUUUUUCAUGCUCGGCUUUGUCCUUUAGGGGACAUGUUGUUGGUAAUAAAUAUAAUGAAGGGUGCUCGCCAGUCUUCCUCCGCCUCGAUCAUCAGGUCAUCAGCGGACACUGGAUCGGCCAGAGGCUGGGCGUUGCUGUCAGCCUGGUCUGGGUCAAGGAUCUUGAUGGAGGGUUUUCUGAGGUCCUGGACAAACACGCCGACCGGAACUUGGGCACGAUUCAAGCCAAGCUUGGAUAGGACAUCGGCGGUGACGUUGUCUUCCCUGGUGGCAUGAUGGAAUUCAAGGCCGUCCCUGGGGACAUGAUGGAAUUCAAGGCCAUCGAAGUGAGCCUCAAGUUUGCGGACCUCAGCACAGUAGGCAUCCAUGGUGUGCUUGGUGCAUUCCCAGGACUUGUUGACCUUCUCGAUGACAACCUUGGAGUCACCAUAUGUGAGGAUACGCUUGAUGCUGAGAGAGGCGGUGAUGCGGAGCCUGUGUAUGAGGGCCUUGUACUCAGCGCCAUUGUUGAUAGCCUUGUGGUGGAUCUGGAGGAUGUACUUGAGCUGCUCGCCUAUCGGGGAUAUGAAGAGGAUCCCAGCACCAGCUCCUUCAAGGUUGAGGGCACCGUCAAAGUACAUCGUCCAGUGCUCCGGCCUCUCCAAGAAGGACGACUCUUGAAUCUCAGUCCAUUCAGCGAUGAAGUCAGCUUGGAUCUGGGACUUGAUCGCAUGACGUGGGCAGAAGUCGAUGUCAAAUUCCUCGAGAUCCACGGACCAUUUGACGACUCGGCCGUGGACAUCCCUGUUGUGUAGGAUUUCACCAAUUGGGUAGGAGGAAACCACUCGAAUCUUGUGCGCUUGGAAGUAGUGGCAUAGUUUACGGGAGGUGAUCAGGAUUUCUGCACCUGCGCGUAAUGGACCUUAGAUUCACUUAGGACCUCGCUGAUGUAAUAUACUAGCCUCUGCACCAUGUGGGCGUGGCCAGGUUCUUCAUGUUCUACAACUAGCACCGUACUCACGACGUGUGUUGUCGCUAAAAUGUACAGCUGCAGCGUUUCUUGGUCGGCCGGGGCCAUCAAGACGGGAGGGGUGGAGAGGAAUGUUUUGAGUUCCUCGAGAGUCUUGCGAGCCUUGUCAUCCCACUCGAACUUGUCCGCCUUCUUGAGCAGCUUGAUGAAGGGAAGUCCCUUUUCGCCAAGCUUGCUGAUGAAACGGCUGAGGGCCGCCAUCAUGCUUGUGAGCUUGACGACGUCCUUCUUGCCGGUGGGCUGCACCAUGUUCCUGAUGGAGUCUACUUUGAUAGGGUUUGUUUCGAUGCCGUGUUGGCUGACCAUGAAGCCCAAGAGCUUUCCAGACGGAACACUGAAGACGCAUUUGCCAAGGUUGAGUUUCCAUCGAUAGACCUGGAGGCUGUCGAAGGUUUGGGCAAGAUCAGCAAUGAAGUUUUCUUUGUCCUUGUCCUUGACGACCACAUUGUCGACGUAGGCCUCUACAUUUUUGCCAAGUUGUUUCUUGAGGCAACCCUGGAUUGCCUUCUGGUAGGUGGCGCCGGUGUUUUUUAACCCAAAGGUCAUGGUGUUGUAGUAGUAGAUUCCACAAGGCGUUAUGAACCUAGUCCUAUCUUGGUCAACGGGGUUGAGCGCGAUGUGGUGAUAGCUCGAGUAGCAAUCAAGGAAGCAUAGGAGGGUGCAGCCGGCCGUGGAGUCCACAACUUGGUCAAUGCGAGUGUUGACGCGAGAUUUUGACACGAGUAAAAUCAGCGUCAUGAGAGGAAGAAAUUGGUAGAUACUGCGAGAUAUAGGGGCGACAAUUGUAAAUCGACCGAAUGGUGCUAUAGUCAAGGAUCGGCCGAAUGGUGCUACAGUCGAGGGUCGGCCGAUUGACCUUUAGAAUUCCGCCUCGCUUGACCCCUGGGGUUUGGGAUCGGACGCGCCUGGUUCCCGAUCGGUUACCCCUUGCCGAUGAGGAAAUCGGCUAAUUAGGAGGUUGGGAUAGUUGGGCCGGUAUGGGCUUAGAAAGGAUUAUAAGGAUGAAAAGGGAAUCAGCCCAUGAAGCGCAUAAUAAUCUACCUAGUACGAAUCGUACUUGUAAAUAUUCGUUUUCUAUUUGAAUUAGGGAUAGAGUUCUAGUCAGAUAAGGAGUCGUCUGUACGGGGCUAUAAAUAGCCACCUUUGUAGAUCUGUAAUCAUCAACAACUCAAUACAACAAAUUACUAUUUCCUCGUACUUACUUUCUAGCAGGCGACUUCGCCAAAUAGUUUCUUCUUUUUCACGAGUCCGUACGGGUUGGCGGGGCUGCAUCAACUUGACCUCCGGCCGAUCUUGUAAGUUCCGUUUACCGAGUAAAUUCUAAGCUUUAACUUCGGGCGCAUCGCUGUCGUUUCAUUUAGAUUUAUUCACUAGUUAUCGAUAUUUACUAGAAUUGUAGGUUUUACAUGUUUUUCUAGUUUUAUCACCAGUUAUCUAGCUAGGAAUCGGCAGUUUCGGCUUUUCUCAUAUCUUGCUGUUUAAUUUACUUAUUUUACGCAUAGCCGAUUAGAUCUGUUCCUAGUACUGCUACUGUAGCGUUGUACUAAUUACUCCAAUAGUUCUCAUUCACGCUGCCUGGUAAUCGGCUGCUUCAUAACCGAUUUCUUUAUUACGGCAAAUUAGCCGAUUCGCUGAUAAGCUCUCUCGAGAUCGGAAAUUUAGCCGAUCGCGACUUCUGGAUCUGACAUGUAUUCUUCCUUGCCAAUCAACAGGUCAGAUUGGCUGGCACGCCACGCGAACCGCACCAGGGCAAUCACCCGAACAGGAGUUAAGCAGAUUCUCUCGGGUCGUGUGUUAAGACCCUGGGGAUUCGGCCGGCCGAUUUCUAGCGCCAACACACUUUUGGCACGCCCGGUGGGACAAAUACAACCGCCACCAUGUCAAAAGCUGCUGAAGUCUCCGAAGAUAACAUCAUCGAAGUGACAGAGGCAGAUCUCAGGGACGACCAGAAGGAAGAACUAGAGAAGCAGACAGCACACUACCGGAAGGCUUGCCUGCAGUCCUUCAGUCGCACCAGAAGCGGGGAGACUAUCAAAAAGUCUCUGUUUUCAACUCCCCGCCAGAUCACAAUCACCGAGGACUCGGACAAGAUGGCCGAGAUGGUCCAUCAGUCCGUUUAUCAAGCCUUCAUUGAUCAAUCCCCAGUGCUUGCAAAUACGAUGUACAAUGCCGUCAUCAGCUCCUUGGCUAGCGGGGUAUCUCAAGGGUACAAGGGACCGGCAUAUGCUCCGCCGAUUCCACCAAACAAGGGUUAUCUGAAUUCGGCUUCUCAGCCGAUCCAAUUUCCAGCUAGGGGUUCAGGUGCUUCCUCAUCAUCAAUUCCUAUGGGGUAUAACGGCACACAAAACCUCCAGCCACACCCCGUUCAACUGUCCUCUGCGCCGUUCCCUCCGGUUAACCCACCGCAUUGGGGGGCACCAUCAGCUACGGCCGUUCAGGAUCAAUCGGCCAGUCAGGGAAGUCCCCAAUUCCAGCCGUCUUUCCAGGCAACCACUCGACCAACUAUGCUGCCGUUCCAGCCCGUCGCACCAGAGAUGAGCAAAGCAGCAGAGCUCGUACUAUACGAUGAAACGAGUGGCUCAUUCAAACAGCCGACCCUGAAUACACAGCCGGCUAUAACGCAUCAGAUGCCACAUACUUUCACUCAGCAUCAAGCCAUCCCGCCUCCGAUAUACCAGCACGUGGCAGUCCCUCAGCCAACAGUUUACCAGCAACAGCCGGACUGGUCGGCACGUAUAGCAGAAGUGAUUCAGGAACAAUUCGGCUUGAAGCCGAAGGUACAAACUUACACUUACAGGACACCGUACCCAUCUACAUACGACCUACUGCCGUUUCCCCAUCGGUAUAAAGUUCCUGACUUCACCAAGUUCUCGGGGAUGGAUGACACUUCAACCGUAGAACAUGUGAAUAGAUUCAUCAUCCAAUGCGGAGAGGCAGCGACGCAAGAUGCUCUACGGGUGCGGCUAUUCUUGUCGUCCUUGUCUGGGUCGGCCUUCCAGUGGUUCACGACAUUACCGCCCAACUCGAUUAUUACAUGGGCCAAUUUGGAGAGGCAGUUUCAUAAAUACUUCUACGCCGGGGUACAUGAGAUGAAGUUGUCCGAUUUGACCAGCCUCAAGCAAAGAAGCGACGAGCCGAUAUCCUCAUAUGUACAGAGGUUUCGGGAAAUCAGGAACAAAUGCUAUUCUUUGGCUCUAAACGACGCACAGUUGGCUGAUAUAGCCUUUCAAGGCCUCCUGCCCCACAUCAAAGAAAAAUACGCCUCACAGGAGUUUGAGAGCUUAAGCCAAAUUGUCCACCGAUUGUCUGGACAGGAGGUACGUUCUUUCGAUCCACGGAGGAACUUCCAGAAGAAGGUGGCAUACUUCGAAGAGGUUGAAGCCGAAGAAGAUGCAGAGGUCGGUCUUGCGGAAUGGGUUAAUGGAAAGAAACUGAUAUCAUGCCCGUUCGGCAAGAAGGAGCCAGAAAUGUUCGGCUUUGACACGUCGAAGGCCGAUAAAAUCUUCGACCUCCUACACCAGGAAGGACAGAUUAAGCUCUCACCAUACCAUACGAUACCUUCUGCCGAACAGCUGAAGAAGAUGAAAUAUUGCAAAUGGCAUAACGCUACCUCCCAUGACACUAACGAGUGCAAAAUCUUCCGGCAACAGAUACAAACGGCUAUUGAGCAGGGCAGACUUAAAUUUGAAGUGCCAACAAAACCAGCCAAGCCGAUGAAGAUCGAUCAGCACCCCUUCCCCACCAACAUGGUUGACACAGGAAAGAAUCCGCUCCAAACGAAGGUGCUAACGUCUGAAUCAGCUAAAAAGAGUGGUGCUGUAGAUCCCAAAAAUCAAGCGGCGCCUGAAGACAUCAAGGGGAAGCGGCGGAUGGAAGACGACGAUGGCGGAUCAGGUGAGCCACGCAACACUUCCCAAUUCCUGCUCCACAAAUAUCAGCGGCAACAUGAGCGCUCAAGAUCCCGGGAAGAAGCGAUGCGGCGACAUGAAGAUCACUGGAGAUGUCCGUUCUUCAUCCACUGUUGGGAAAGCAACCUCAGGUUACCGUCGGCCGAUAAUUGCCCAGAGUGCAACGGCCCAUAUCGUAACAAUCGGCCGUUCAACAGGUCUCGCUCCAGAGACGGGAGACCAGAGCCGAUCAACAGGAACUGGCGCGACCAAGACGACCGGCGCCCUCCCGUGCGUGAUCGGCUGGGGGGCAGAAGUGACCGAUAUGACCGGUCGGAAGAUAGAUGCCAUGAUAGGCCGGGGGGCAGGUUUGAUCGACACGACCGGCCAGAAAACAGGGCCUGCGUCCACAGUCGGCUUGAAGAGAUGGCCGAUGCUCGAGUGACAGACGAAAACCCUUUAGGACGCGAACCGGAAUGGGAACGCGCCAGGCCACGAACCAAACCAGUGAACCCCAGGUAGUGUCCCGACGGAUUGACCAAAUCUCAAAAACCAAGGAUCCAACGUCUCCGCCAGUGAGAACAGCAGGAGGAAGAACAACAGUACACGACGAACAAGAGGGAAGGCAGGUCUCAGGUAUGGCGCCCCAAAAGAAACGACAGAGGAGGCGACGAAUCGGCGGGCGAUGAAUCGGCAGCCGACAUCGGCAUGGUUUUCAUACUGCCGAUGGAAUUUAUGACUCCUGCCGACUGACAGGAUAUAUCGGCGAUAGAAGAACAGAUGGCACAAUUGGCUUUGGAGCCAAUGACAGCUACAUUCGAGAAGCCCGAAGACGACAAACGGCAACACCUGAAAGCGUUGUUCCUUAAAGGGCAUGUCAACGGUCGCCCCCUCACCAGAUUAAUGGUAGACGGAGGAGCUGCAGUCAACAUCAUGCCAUAUGCCGUGCUCCGGAAGCAUGGGAAAAGCGAUGAUGAUUUGACCAAGACAGACAUGAUGCUCAAGGACUUCGAGGGCAACGUAUCCCCCGCUCGCGGCGCCCUCUGCGUCAACCUCACCAUCGGCAGUAAGACCCUUCCCACUACCUUCUUUAUUAUUAAUGGCAAGAGAUCCUACAACAUGCUACUCGGCCGAGACUGGAUACACGCAAAUUGCUGCAUCCCAUCGACAAUGCAUCAAUGUCUCGUACAAUGGGUCGGCGACAACAUCGAGGUGGUCAACGCCGACUCCGCAUACAGCAUCGCGGCAGCCGACACGCAGCAGUGGAGCUGCGAAACUGUCAAGUGCAUAUCCGGUAGAGUAUGGGAUACUGACUUCUUGAAGGUGUCCGAUUUUGGCCUACAGCCGAUCCGAGCACUCGGCUCCGAAGACUCAGAUUAAAUGGAUCAGUUCGCUCGAGAAGAUGGGAAGCUAGGGCACGGGUUCACGUCGGCCGAUUCAUUAGAGAUGAUAGACUUAGGCGAUGGCACCAAACCAAGGCCGACUUAUAUUAGUGCAAAUUUAGACCCAAAAUACAAAUGUAAACUGACAAGUUUGUUAAGAGAAUUUAAGGAUUGUUUUGCUUGGGAGUAUCAUGACAUGCCCAGAUUAGAUCGAUCUAUUGUUGAACAUCGGCUACCCAUAAAACUAGGAUAUCGGCCGUAUCAACAGCCUGCACGGCGGUGCAAUCCUAAAAUUCUACCAGACAUAAAAGCCGAAAUAACUCGGCUAAUUGAAGCAAAAUUUAUUCGGCAAUGCCGUUAUGCCGAGUGGAUCUCCAACAUUGUACCAGUAUACAAGAAGAACGGAAAGCUACGCGUGUGCGUUGAUUUUAGGAAUCUUAAUCAGGCCACACCGAUGGACGGAUACCCCAUGCCAACGGCCGAUGUGCUGAUAGACGCUGCCGCGGGACACAAGAUUAUUAGCUUCAUGGACGGAAACGCUGGGUACAAUCAAAUACUUAUGGCCGAAGAAGACAUACCCAAAACGGCCUUCAGAUGCCCAGGCCACCUUGGUUUAUUCGAGUGGGUGGUAAUGACUUUUGGCUUAAAAAACGCCGGCGCCACGUAUCAGAGAGCCAUGAACUACAUAUUUCACAAACUCAUCGGUGCUGGAAUGCACUAAGAAACAUGGGCUGAAGAUGAACCCGAAUAAAUGUACCUUCGGCGUGUCCGCCGGACAGUUCUUAGGAUUCAUGGUGCAUGAGCAGGGAAUAGAGGUCAAUCGGAAGACCAUAGCGGCUAUCAACAAAGUCGUGGCCCCGCAGAAUAAAACUGAAUUGCAGUCUUUAAUCGGCAAGGUGAAUUUCAUUAGAAGAUUCAUAUCUAAUCUGUCUGGGCGAAUCCAAGCCUUCACACCAUUAUUAAAGUUGAAGCCCGACCAAGAGUUUAUAUGGGGGGAAGAACAACGCAAGGCACUGGAAGAUAUCAAGCAGUACUUGGUCUCACCACCAGUAUUGGUCCCUCCUCAAACUGGUAAGCUAUUUAAAUUAUAUUUAUCAGCCGAUGAAAAGGCUAUUGGGUCGGCUCUAGUCCAGGAGUUCGAAGGAAAGGAACGAGUAAUUUAUUAUGUCAAUAGAAGACUUCUGGACGCCGAUACAAGGUAUCCUCCAGUGGAGCGGUUGUGCCUAUGCCUCUACUUCUCAUGCACCAAACUCAGGCACUAUUUGCUGUCGGCGGAAUGUGUGGUCGUAUGCAAAGAUGACGUAGUAAAAUACAUGCUGUCACUGCCGAUCUUGAAAGGACGAAUCGGCAAAUGGAUCUUAGCUUUGUCAGAGUUUGACCUACG
rnacentral:lncRNA from 1 species